AAUCUCCCCCAAAUUCACCCCAAAAUCCAAUGGGAACCCCAAAAUCCCCAAAUUCACCCCAAAACUCACCUGGAACCCCCAAAUCCUCCAAAUUCACCCCAAAAUCCCCAAAUUCACCCCAAAAUUCACCCCAAAAUUCUAAAAUUCCCCAAAUCCACCCCAAAAUCCCCCAAAUUCACCCCAAAAUCCCCCUGGGACCCCCCCAAAAUCCCCUCCCAGGCUUCACCUGCGGGGUGGGCGGAGCUUCGGCGUCACCCCCAACAUCUGGAUGGGGGGGUCCCUCCACACCUGGAUCGGGGGGUUCCUCCACAUCUGGAUGGGGGGGCUCCUCCCCCUCCACAUCUGGAAUCCUGGGGGGCGGGAACAGCUGGGUGUCCACAUCUGGAACGCCGGGGGGCUCCUCCCCCUCCACAUCUGGAUCCCCGGGGGGCUCCUCCCCCUCCACAUCUGGAACACCGGGGGGCUCCGGGCCCCCCACAUCUGGAUGGGGGGGUUCCUCCUGCCCCACAUCUGGAAUCCUCGGGGGCGGGAACAGCUGGGUGGCCACAUCUGGAACGCCGGGGGGCUCCUCCCCCUCCACAUCUGGAUCCCUGGGGGUCACGAACAGCUGGGUGGCCACAUCUGGAUCCGGGCUCGCCACCCCUCCCCCCGCCGGGAUUUUGGGGCCUCUGGGGGCCGCAUUUGGGGGCAGGAACAGCUGGGUGGCCACAUCUGGAUCGGGGGAGGGCGGCCCCUCCGCCACAUCUGGAAGGCCGGGGCUUCCCGGGCUGCCAACAUCUGGGGAGGGCAGGAAGGGCUGGGUGGGCACAUCUGGAUCCGACUCCUCCUCCUCCUCCACAUCUGGAUCCGGCUCCUCCUCCUCCACAUCUGGAUCCGGCUCCUCCUCCUCCACAUCUGGAAUUCGGGGCGGCAGGAACAGCUGGGUGGCCACAUCUGGAUCCCACCCCUCCCCUCCCCCCGCCACAUCUGGAGCCCCGGGCGGCCCCGGGGCGAUCCGCCGCCUCUUGGGGGGCCGAACAUCUGGAUCCUCCUCCCCCUCCUCCACAUCUGGAGCUUCCGGGAGGUUUUGGGUCGUUUUGGGCCUUUCUGGGGGCUCCACAUCUGGAUCCUCCUCCUCCACGUCUGUGUCGCUCUCCACCCGGCACCGGAUUUUGGGGCUGGCAACAUCUGGAUCUGCAGCCACAUCUGGAAUUCCUGACAGGUCUUGGGUCAUUCUGAGCCUUUUUGGGGGCUCCACAUCUGGAUCCGCGGCCACAUCUGGAGUUCCUGGGAGGUUUUGGGUCAUCUUGAAGGGCUCCACAUCUGGAUCCUCCUCCACAUCCGUGUCGCUCUCCACCCGGCACCAGAUUUUGGGGGGCUCCACAUCUGGAUUUGGGGCCACAUCUGGAGUUCCUCGUAGGUCUUGGGUCAUCCUGAGGGGCUCCACAUCUGGAUCCGCGGCCACAUCUGGAGUUUCUGGGACAUUUUGGGUCAUCCUGAAGGGCUCCACAUCUGGAUCCCCCUCCACAUCUGUGUCACUCUCCACCUGGCACCGGAUUUUGGGGCCGGCCACAUCUGGAUCCGGCUUUGGGGCCACAUCUGGAGUUCCUGGGAGGUCUUGGGUAUUCCUGAGGGGCUCCACAUCUGGAUCUGUGGCCACAUCUGGAGUUUCUGGGACAUUUUGGGUCAUUCUGAGCCUUUUUGGGGACUCCACAUCUGGAUCCGCGGCCACAUCUGGAGCUUCCGUGAGGUUCUGGGUCAUUUUGGGCCUUUCGGGGGGCUCCACAUCUGGAUCCUCCUCCACGUCCGUGUCGCUCUCCACCUGGCACCAGAUUUUGGGGCCGGCCACAUCUGGAUCCGCAGCCACAUCUGGCGUCUCAGGCACCUUUUGGGUCAUUUUGAGCUUUUUCGGGGGCUCCACAUCUGGAUUUGGCUUUGGGGCCACAUCUGGAGUUCCUCGUAGGUCUUGGGUCAUCCUGAGGGGCUCCACAUCUGGAUCUGUGGCCACAUCUGGAGUUUCCGUGAGGUUCUGGGUCGUUUUCAGCCUUUUUGGGGACUCCACAUCUGGAUCCUCCUCCACAUCUGUGUCACUCUCCACCCGGCACCAGAUUUUGGAGCUGACAACAUCUGGAUUUGGCUUUGGGGCCACAUCUGGAGUUCCUGGGAGGUCUCGGGUCAUCCUGAGGGGCUCCACAUCUGGAUCCAUGGCCACAUCUGGAGUUCCUGGGACAUUUUGGGUCAUUUUGGGGGGCUCCACAUCUGGAUCCGCGGCCACAUCUGGAGUUCCUGGGACAUUUUGGGUCAUCCUGAAGGGCUCCACAUCUGGAUCCUCCUCCACAUCUGGAGUUUCUGGGAGGUCUUGGGUCAUUUUCAGCCUUUUUGGGGGCUCCACAUCUGGAUCCUCCUCCACGUCCGUGUCGCUCUCCACCCGACAUGGGAUUUUGGGGCCGGCCACAUCUGGAUCCGGCUUUGGGGCCACAUCUGGAGUUUCCAGGACAUUCUGGGUAAUUUUGAGCCUUUUUGGGGACUGCACAUCUGGAUCCUCCUCCACAUCCGUGUCGCUCUCCACCCGGCACCAGAUUUUGGGGCUGGCCACAUCUGGAUCCGGCUUUGGGGCCACAUCUGGAGUUCCUGGGACAUUUUGGGUCAUUCUGAGCCUUUUCGGGGGCUCCACAUCUGGAUCCUCCCCCUCUACAUCCGUGUCGCUCUCCACCCGGCACCAGAUUUUGGGGCCGGCCACAUCUGGAUCCGGCUUUGGGGCCACAUCUGGAGUUCCUGGGAGGUUUUGGGUAAUUUUGGGCCUUUCUGGGGGCUCCACAUCUGGAUCCUCCUCCACAUCUGUGUCGCUCUCCACCUGGCACCAGAUUUUGAGGGGCUCCACAUCUGGAUCCUCCUCCACAUCUG
rnacentral:lncRNA from 1 species